UGCAGCAGGGAUUUUUGUCCAGGGAAGGCUCCUCAGGAAGGAGGAAGGGAUCAGAAGCGGGAUCAGGUGCCAGGCUCACCCUCCCACCUGAAAAGCGUUCCCUAAUGGGGGCCGCCAUGUUGAUGCUCUGGGACCCGCCUCCUCCGCCACAGCUGAUUGGGGGAGAACCAGGUCACCUGACUCAAGCUAAGCCAAUCAGAUUCCUAACCCCCCCCCACAAAGAAGCCACUCUUGCAUCUUUGACAUGGAAGGUAGCCGGGCUGGGAUUAAGGCGCUCGUUUCUCAACAGUGUGACCUCAGGCAACUUGGACCUCUCUGUGGUUUGGUUUCCUUCUCUGGAAGUCGGAAGGAUGAAAGCAGCGCCUUCCUCCAUGGCCUCUGCGGGAUUAUGCGAAAUCCUGGUGGCGACGCUUUUUGCCCAAGAGCUGACACGCAGAAAAUGGCUGGGCAAACAGCAGCCGGCUUUGCUGGUGGUACGGACGGAGCGAUGGGACUUGUGGCCGUGCAGGGGCCACCUCCUGCCUUCUACGUGAGAGAGAGGGAUGGGAGAACGAGCCAGGGAGAGGGAGCGGGAAGGGGGGGGGAGAGAGAAAACACUGGGUUCUUGACAGCUUUCCAGAACUUUCUUCCAAGUGAUAUGAGACUUGGCUGUCCUCCCUGUAUUGCGGUUCAAGGAAACAGCUCCUGGGUCCCUCGUCCCUGGCUGCCCCUGACUUUGCCCUGGCUAGACAAAUGUGGUUUUGGUUUUUGUAAUCCAAACCCCAGCAAACCAAACCAAGACAAUAUACCACCACCAGCAGCAGCAAAACACAUUGAGAGAGUGUGAAGGCCCCAUGGAAUUCACUGGAACCACCUUUGAACCAGGGAUUUCCUGUGUGGGACCCCUUGGCCACAUAAAGGUCUAAGUCCCAGCGUGGGGCAGCCCCUGAGGAUCUAAGCAGCCCUCCUGCCUGUGACCGUCCAGAAGCCUCAUGGUCCGGGAACACACACCCAGGCCUCCUGCUCCCAGAUGGGCAGGCAUCUGGAAAGUUCCACACACAGCCCAGGAGCUUGAUGAACAGGGGCCUUGAGAUGGGUCAGUCCCUGACCUCGAGGCGCUGCCCUGGCCAGGCCGGGGCUGGGGAAUGUGUAAGAGCGGAGUCAGCUGGGGAAUUAAAAUCUCAGGGGUUCUGUGCCCAGCUGAGUGCUGACAUCUGGCAUCCACUGGUCCUCGGCAACUGGUCGGGAAGAUGAAAGAAUGGAGACUCAGGUCUUGCAAGUGUCUGGCUCAAGUUCACUUACUGAGGGGAGAGCCCGGGCUUCUUUCCUCCUGAAAUCAAUGUCAUUAACACCUCCAGACACAAACAAGGCCUCAAAAGGGGAAGAAAGACCCUCUUUGGACUCAGGAGCCAGCUACCACUGUCUUAGCUUUUUGAGGGGGCAGUGGUGGGCGGGGGGGGGGGUCUAGAGUAUUUUAAAGGGCUCAUCCUCUGUGUCACCUGUGACUGCUUCAGAAUGCAUCUCUAACAGAUGAGGGUGGUGGGUGUCCUUUGAACGUAACCGUAAGGUCGUUACCAUGGGACCACCUGGAUGGGAGAGGUCACGCUGGAAUCACCACAUCCUGCGCUUUGAGAGGGAGCACGGUCCCAGCCCAGGCCUGUUCUUCCUCGCAGGCAAGUUCCCUAGAGCAGCAGUUCCCAGAGGGGGCUCCUGGGACCAGUCGCAUCAGCACUGGCAUUGCCAUCGCUGGGGACCUCGUUAGAAAUGCAGGUUCUCAGGCUGCCCGAGCCCUCCCGAGGGAGGGACUCUGGGGCUGGGCCUGGCAGCCUGUGUGGCAUGCCCUCCCUGACUCUGAUGCCCGCUCUUGGGGGAGAUGAUAACACAGGGAGGUGGUUCCCUCUUGCUUGUCUGUUUAUUAUUUAUGCAGGUCCUGGAUCCUUCCCCAGAGGAUGCUGAGGGGUUGGUCUUGAGUGGUUUUGCCUUCCAGCAGACUCAGGAGCCCAGCCGUCAGUGGGCAUGGGAGAGAAGAGUCGGGGGUAAGCCUCUGAGAGGACAGAGCGGCCAAUCCAGUGGUGUAAUCAGGCCAAGUUACGAAGUGAGACCCCCCCCCCCCCCGGCCUGGACACACCAGAGUGGGGGUGGCGUCUCCCAAGCUUGACAGGAAGCUGCAAAAAUCACACAGGAAGGCCCUGGGUACCUUUCACUCAGCUGUCUCCCAGGUCGCAUCUCAUGUAACCACCGUGCCAGAUGGAAGCCAGGAAACUGCCCUGCUUGGUGUGGGAGCGAGGUCUCUGUGCCCCUGAUCUCAGGUGUGGACUCCUAUCAAGUACGGGCUCCGUCACCACGUGGCUGUCCUCACUGCCUUUGUAGUCACCCCAUCCCUGACCCCUGCCAGCCGCCAGCCUGCCCUCCAUCUCUGUAAUUGCGUCAUGUCGAGAAUGUUCUGUAGGCGGAAUCCCACGCUGUGUGGUUGUUUCAGAUUCGCACCUGUUCUUCCCAGAGUAUCCAUGUGUGUGUGCCUUUGCUCCGUCGCUUUUUCGCCCCCUCCCCCCUUUCCUGAAACCCUUCAGCGUGCCCUUCCAAAGGGGCAUUCUCUCACCACCAGAGUGCCCUGAGCAGCCUCAGAAGUUGACGUCAUUCCGGAGUCUUCCCUCCAGGCCUUGGGUGAAGUCAGCUGUUGUCCCCUUCACGGCCUUGAUAGCAGACGAUAAAGCCUUUUCCCAGCUCCAAGGCUGAUUCAGGAUCACAAAUUACAUUUGAGUGUUACGACUCUUUGGUCUCUCUGGAACAUCCCACGGCCUUUCUUUGCCUUUCCUGACAAUUCUGAAGAGCACAAGCCAGUUAUUUCCUAGGAUGCCCCUCCGAGGGCAUUGCCGUUUCCUCAUGAUGGGGCUUGGGUUCCGCCCUUGGCCUGGAAUUCCCUGAAAUGAAGCUCUGUCCCCUCGGGCGCGUGUCCCAGGCACAUGAUGUCGUUGGUCCUGGUGAGCCUCAUCCUUUGGUCAAGGUGGGGCCUGGCAGGUUUCUCCACUGCUCCGCUUUGUGACUCAUCGCUCUCUUGGGUCUUGAGAUGGUGUAUGUAUCUUAUUGCUAAGAUCUCAUCUGCCUUCUCUUUCAGAUGUUAACAGAAUUUUUUUACUGCAGCAGAAUUUACCUACAGAAAGGCACACAGAAUGCCAGUUCUGCUCCAUGAGAUGUUACAUAGUGGACACCUGGACACUGAAGCCUGGGCUGAGAGGGAGGGAGGGUUGGGCCCUGGCGGAGAGACCUGUGAAGGUCAAAAGGAUGGCGCUCAGGGUGUUUGACAAACCGCCAGGAGGCUGGCAGGGAGGGGCAGGCUUCUCAGAGAACUGGCCCCACGCCUUCUGCACAAUGUAACUGGGGACCCUGGGACUCUCCAAACGUUCAGAGGGAGCCCCUGAGAACUUUAAACUCUAUUGUAUCCAAAAAAAAAAAAAAUAGAAAUUGUACAUUUAGCUUCCCGUCCAUCUCCUCAAUUUACAUAUAAACGCAUCCGUUCACCAUUCGACCAACACAUAUUCAGAGCAUUCCUUAGAAAUUUAUCUUCAUUGAGAAAAAACCCACAUGACAUAAAAGUCACCAUUUUGACUUUCUGAAAGUGUGCGGUGCAGUGGGCUUUAAUACAUUUGCGAGGCCCUGCAACCAGCCCCUCUAACUCCAAAAUAUCAUCGUCACCCCAAAAAGAAAAUGUAUACUUUCUAAAUUUUGCUCUCUUCCCAGCGCCUGGCAGUCACUUGUCUUCCUCUCUGGGGAUUUGUUUCUUCUGGACGUUUCAUGUAAAGGGACUCCUACGUUGAGUGGCCUCUGUGUCGGGCUUUUUCCACACAAAUGUGAUGCUUUCAAGGUUCAGCCAUGUUAUCGUGGGGUCAGCACUUGCUUCCUUUCAAGGCUGAAUCAUAGCCCAUGGCCAAGAUGGACCACAUUCUGUUCAUCCAUUCGCUGCUGUUGGACAUUUGGGUUGUUUGUGCUUUGGUGCCUUCUUUUAAGCUCAUAAAAGUAAUAGAAUACCAUGGCUUUGUGGAAACCAUGGGGACAGUGGGGACACCUGUGCUGGAGAUCUCCCGUGGUCCAGGGACAAGGAGGGGCCUCUCAGGAAAAGAGCAACUCAGUUCAAACUUGAAGCAUGAGUGGGAGUUAGCAGGGCAAGAAUUUGGGGGCAAGGGGCCCUCUGGGGAGUGGCCCUGGCCAAGGGGACAGUGGGGGCAGUGGCCGGAGAGGGGAGGGUACACAUCCUUUGAGAAGGGAAGGGGUCUGGCGUGGUCUAAGUGGGGAGACUGGGAGAGUGAGGGGCCGGGGCUUGGUGACCCUGCUGUGGCAUUUAAAAGAGUCAACUUUGAGGCAGAGUCACAAGGUGCAAGGCGGCAGCUUGAGCAGCUAUGAGUCUCCAAGCAAGGCUGGGAUGGGAGGGAGGGGACACUACCUGCACUGGGCCUGAGUGGGUUUCCUGGAGGCAAGGACUUGCAGGGCUAAAAUUGGGGCCAUCCCAACUGAAGCAGGACACUUGGUCACCUCCCAGUGACCACGGGAAGCACGAACUGCUGAGUUUAAAUAGGAAGGCCCUCGGCCUCUUUGCUUUGAACUGGAAUUCUCUUGAUUUUGGAUGACAGGUCUGCAUGCUUUGGAAUUGAGAAAAAUGAGAAAUGUUGAAAGGGAGUCAAAUUUCUACUCUAGGACAUCACGGAAACGGUAAAUCUCUAAGGACUGUAAAAGGAUCAGUGGUUGCCAGGGAUUUGGGUUCAAGAGGAUGAGAAGUUGGAGCACCGGGGAUUUUUAGGCAUUGAACUAUUUGUUUGAUACUGUAAUGUAGAUAUGACAUAUAAUGACAUUGUAUGUGACAUUUGUCAAAACCUACAGAACAUGAACAUUGAGCGUAAGCCCUCAUGUAAAUGAUGGUCUUCACAGAGGGAGAUCGUCUCCUCCAGCCACUCCACCAGCUUCUAGAAGGUUCUGCGACUCCGCUCCCUGCCAAGGUCAUUCCUUCCUCCUCUUAAAAAUCUUUCAGUAAAUAGAUGUAUUCACGUGCCAGAUCUAAAAAAAUUGGUAGCUACCUGAAGUGUGAGAAGUAGGACAAUUCCCAGGCCUGUCCUAGCCGGUGGGGACAUGUCACCUCGUGAUUGAUGCGUGGCAUCUGGCCUGGGUGUAGGAGGAGGGGGUGGCGGGGGGUAUUUACUUCUUGGGAUCUGGCAAGUCCCAGGGCACCUGAUGUCCAGUUCCACAGGGCUGCACCUUGUCCCACCUGUAGAAUUUAGCCCCUUGGGAGCCCAGAAGUGCCCCCCGCUGUGGGCAGUGCUCAGCCGGUGUUGCCCCAUCAUUCAGCAGACAGUGACUGUGGAAGUGACAGAGCCUGACAGGAAGAGUGCCUGGAAUGAAGCUCAGCAAGCGCAUGGGGCUUGACAGCGACCUGGAGAUAAGAUACAGGGGAGCAGAAAUAGAGUCUUUUGUGUUCAGGGGCUGAUCUCCAGUGUCACAUGACAGGUGAUUAAAAAAUAUUUGCUA